GGGCGUGUAACUCAGUGGUAGAGUGCUCGCUUCGCAUCAAGCUUCUGUAAGACAAUUAUAGCAGCGAACACCUGCGAGUUUGCGAGAAGUCCAGGGUUCGACUCCCUGCUCGUCCA